UAGUCAGUGCAGUCUGUAAAGUAACGAAAGUUACAUGGUCAGUAAGCUAGUGAACUGAUCUUCAGCAUGUGGGUCAAUGAAGAAAUUCGGCAGAUUAUUUUCUGGACGGAUCCGGCUCCAGCAGUGGCCUGUAUUGAAGAAGCCAGGAUUUUCUCAAGCCCCGCUCAAGAGGACCAGCACUGGAAACCCACUCGUUUGUAGAGGAUUAUGGGGCGGCAUACUGGAUGAAGUCUACUGCCUGGGAUGCCAGGAGCAGGAUUUAUGGACAGGGGUCCUGCUGAGAUCAAAGACAGGCCAGUCUGCAGCAGUUGAAAGAUGACUGGCGACCGAGACUAAAUUAGAAGUUUUCCAACCCCAGGGGAGAAGAAGACAGGGAACGUGGCCCGCGGAGUUCGUGCAGGAGAGUAUGAGCAGAAUCCAGGGGAGGAGGGCUCCGUAUAAAGGACUCCUGGAAGUAUAUCGUGGAGGAGAGGGGCAAAUCUGUCCCACCUUGCCCGAAGCAGGCUCGUUGAUGAAAAUGUCUUGUCUCGUUCGUCUCUGUCAUUUCACUCUGCUUUUUCCAGGGGUUAAGGGGAAGGGCUUGUUACCAAAGGGUGUCUUGAUCUAUUGCUGAUUUGCUGCGUUAACUGACCUCCCUCUGCUGCCGUCCGGCGGGUGAGGCAAGAAUCCCGUCUCGUGUAUCUUACACAACGGCAGAUGUUAUAGCACCUGUUCACCCUGUAAGUCACUGGAAGCUUUGCGUUAACAUACUACUAACAAAUCUUUGCUGUGUGGUUGUGGGUUUUCAGGUCCAUCACCCAUUCUAGUAUCGGUUAGUACAAAAGAAGAAAAACAUUAGCCAAGAAGGAUGAAAUCUCAAAUGGAGAACAGUGAGGAAAUUUUGUUGAACACACAGCACUCUCUUGAUCUAGAUAAUGCUGGAUCUCGAUAAAAAAGGAUAUUUGAAUGCUUUUGUUUAGGCACUUGAAAGCUCUCUAUACUUUAGACUUUUAGGGACUUUAAAUGAGCCAUUGUUUUGAAUUCGUGAAAGAGACAGACAUAAAAAGGAGGAGGAGAUGCACAUUUAGCCUCAUCCGGUCAAGAAGACUAAAAUGUGCUGAGAGACCAGAGACAGUUUUUUACAGAGAGACAUAGAACAGUGGGCAAAACUGCUACCCCCACUGUUUUGUCUGAUAAUAUAAUGGAAACUUCCUAGAAAUCUGGAAAAAAAAAGGAUGUCCCGACAUGUUCUUGUUCCUAAGAAUUCCGGUACAUUUACAGAAAUCUGUAUCCUGGCAGGAGCUAUGAGACUGUCAGAUUGCAGGGGUGCAGUAUCAUUUCCUGGCCUCUGUGAUGUCGCAUGCAAAAUGAAUACAACAUGCUUCCACCCAACAGCUGCCCCCAAACCCCCCUUUUUGUUGUUAUUUGAUUUGGGGGAUUCUUAUUUGCUGGCAGAGUGUCCUGGGGAGCUGUGCAAUGGCAGUGUGAAGGGGCUAGCCUUUUGAAAUUAGAGCCCUUUGUUUUUUCCUGUCAGGACCUCCGGACGGAGAGAGAACAGGACUUGGGAUCAGGAGGCGUUUGCUGUUUUGGAGGGGGCUUGCGUGGGGGUUAGGGAGGGAGGGGGGUGAAGGAGAGAGAUCGCGUUCCAUCUGGGCACUUCCUACAGAACAGCUUGAAGCACUCAGCAAGUCAGAGAACAGCCGUCUGGAACUGCUUCUGAGGCCGGGGGCUUGGUUGUGUGUGCAUGUGAGCUUGUGGGCUUCAUUUAAAAAAUAACAAGUCUUGCAAAUCCAGAAAUCGAGAGGAGAGACGGCAACAGAUAGGUUGCAGCGCUUGCUUAUUUAUCCCUUAUGAACACAUGACACGUUGAAUGGAUGGUUGCAAGCAGUCAAGCCCUUGGCAUGGAGGUGUAAAAAAACCAUAAAAAACUGCCAGUCAGCACUCAAAGUCAGUAUGAAUUUCUAAAGCCUCCUGCUCCAAAAGUGGGGCUCAGUACUGUAUUCUUAGGGAGGACAGAGGGAAAGGUUUGGGAGGUCUUUUGGAAUCUCCCCAGGAACGAAGAUAAAUGCGUUGUGGACUCAAAUGAGAGGAGGGCCUGUAUAUUUGUGGCAGGUGAGGCAGAGGGGUGUUUUGGAGAGCAGCAAACACGUUUGCCAGUCUGUGCCCAGAAUGGCAUGCAGGAACCUGGGCAUGCUCUGUGAACAGUCAUCCAGGCACAUCUACGUGAAAACCAGCACUUCCCACAGGUAGCCUUCCUGUUCUGAUCUGACUCUGAGCAGACUGCGCUUUGCUGAGGCUUGAGUGCGCUGUCUCUGCUCUGUGCUGCACUAGGCUGUGACACUGGGGGAGCGUUGCAGGAAGGGGGAGGAGCUGCACCCACAGCUUGUCCAGACCAGACUGACCUCAGCUGACCCCACCUGUUCUCUCGCAGCAGGUGCGACUGUCAGACCCACAAAAACAGAAGGAGUGAGACUGAAGACAAAGCAAUGGAGAUUUCAGAAAGGACAGUAAAAAAACACAACAGCAGCAGCCCAAAGAUGAAGCAGCCCUUAGUGUGUAGGCUGUGAGUAGACUGUGUGUAGACCAUAUGUAGGCAGUGAUUUCCCAGCUUCUGCAUUUUCUCAAGUUUAGGACUUGUGAUGUUUUCUCUCUUUUGCAUCCAUGAGAAUUAAAGAGCUGCAUAGAGGGCAGAGAUUUUGCUUAUUUUCACAUGCUGCUCUGCUUGGCUGCUAUUUCUCUCACUGCGCGUGAAAACAGCCUGCUGACUGCUUUUAAACCCCUGGAUACCCUGCAACUGUCCUUUCAUAGUCUUUAUCUGGCUCUAGCAAUUGUGUGGGAAUCAUUAAAAUAAAAAAAUAACUUUAUUUUUGUUCCUUUAAACUUCAAGGGUAUAUCAUUAGGCUGAGCAAGAUGGCUGCCUUCUUCAUGUUAUCACUUUCACAUGUUCUUAUGCGAAAGGAUUCCAGAAGAGGAAAAAAUAGCCCUUGAUAAAGUACACCGUGGUACUGACGCCUAUUUCCUCCCUGUGCUUUACAUCAUCCUAUUCAGGAUGUGCUCUAAUGGUUGGGGGGGGUUCAACUGUUGGUGCAAAACUGUCAUCUCCUGUUUCGGACUAGCCUAGAAAUAGUAACUCAAAGGGAUGAGACGGGACUCACGCACAUCAGCAUGCAAAUAAGAACAUAGGAACCAAGUGAAAGUAAAAUGGCUUGUUCCCCCACA